AGAGUUUGAUCCUGGCUCAGAAUCAACGCUGGCGGCGUGCCUAACACAUGCAAGUCGAACGAGAAAGUCUCCGCAAGGGGAUGAGUAAAGUGGCGACCGGGUGAGUAACACGUAGCUAACCUACCCUCAAGCGGGGGAUAACCUGGGGAAACCUGGGCUAAUACCGCAUGACAUCCCGACAGCGAUGCCGUUGGGAGCAAAGGCCCGCAAGGGCCGCUGGAGGAGGGGGCUGCGGCCGAUUAGCUAGUUGGUGAGGUAACGGCCCACCAAGGCGAUGAUCGGUAGCCGGCCUGAGAGGGCGCACGGCCACACUGGCACUGACACACGGGCCAGACUCCUACGGGAGGCAGCAGUGGGGAAUUUUGCACAAUGCCCGAAAGGGUGAUGCAGCAACGCCGCG
rnacentral:rRNA from 1 species